rnacentral:rRNA from 1 species
AUCCGAGUGGUUUCUGCUAAAGAAACCUUUUGUCAGUCCUAGAAACACUAACGAAUAAGGGGUGGGCAAGUUCUGGUGUCAGCCGCCGCGGUAAAACCAGCACCUCAAGUGGUCAGGAUGAUUAUUGGGCCUAAAGCAUCCGUAGCUCGUUUUGUAAGUUUUCGGUUAAAUCCAUGCGCUUAACGUAUGGGCUGCCGGGAAUACUGCAUAACUAGGAAGUGGGAGAGGUAGACGGUACUCGGUAGGAAGGGGUAAAAUCCUUUGAUCUAUUGAUGACCACCUGUGGCGAAGGCGGUCUACCAGAACACGUUCGACGGUGAGGGAUGAAAGCUGGGGGAGCAAACCGGAUUAGAUACCCGGGUAGUCCCAGCUGUAAACUAUGCAAACUCAGUGAUGCAUUGGCUUAUGGCCAAUGCAGUGCUGCAGGGAAGCCGUUAAGUUUGCCGCCUGGGAAGUACGUACGCAAGUAUGAAACUUAAAGGAAUUGGCGGGGGAGCACCACAAGGGGUGAAGCCUGCGGUUCAAUUGGAGUCAACGCCAGAAAUCUUACCCGGAGAGACAGCAGAAUGAAGGUCAAGCUGAAGACUUUACCAGACAAGCUGAGAGGAGGUGCAUGGCCGUCGCCAGCUCGUGCCGUGAGGUGUCCUGUUAAGUCAGGUAACGAGCGAGAUCCCUGCCUCUAGUUGCCACCAUUACUCUCAGGAGUAGUGGGGCGAAUUAGCGGGACCGC